GACGAACGCUGGCGGCGUGCUUAACACAUGCAAGUCGAACGGAAAGGCCCUGCUUUUGUGGGGUGCUCGAGUGGCGAACGGGUGAGUAACACGUGAGUAACCUGCCCUUGACUUUGGGAUAACUUCAGGAAACUGGGGCUAAUACCGGAUAGGAGCUCCUGCUGCAUGGUGGGGGUUGGAAAGUUUCGGCGGUUGGGGAUGGACUCGCGGCUUAUCAGCUUGUUGGUGGGGUAGUGGCUUACCAAGGCUUUGACGGGUAGCCGGCCUGAGAGGGUGACCGGCCACAUUGGGACUGAGAUACGGCCCAGACUCCUACGGGAGGCAGCAGUGGGGAAUAUUGCACAAUGGGCGGAAGCCUGAUGCAGCAACGCCGCGUGCGAGAUGACGGCCUUCGGGUUGUAAACCGCUUUCGCCCGUGACGAAGCGUGAGUGACGGUAAUGGGUAAAGAAGCACCGGCUAACUACGUG
rnacentral:rRNA from 1 species